UACGUAGGCAGCAAACGUUGUUCGGAAUUACUGGGCGUAAAGCGCGUGUAGGCUGCUUUGCAAGUCGGAUGUGAAAGCCCUGGGCUCAACCUAGGAAGUGCACUCGAAACUGCGGAGCUUGAGUCUCGGAGAGGAUCGCGGAAUUCUCGGUGUAGAGGUGAAAUUCGUAGAUAUCGAGAGGAACACCGGUGGCGAAGGCGGCAUCCUGGACCGGCAUUGACGCUGAGGCGCGAAAGCCAGGGGAGCAAACGGG
rnacentral:rRNA from 1 species